rnacentral:lncRNA from 1 species
UGGGAAGCCUGAAGAAGGCCGUCACGAAUCUGGGCUGCCACAUCACGGACAUGGCCUGGUCCGUGUGGGAUGAAGACGGAGGAUGACUUGGAGUGGGCGCCAAUCUCCUUCAUCGUGUCAAAGUAUUGGGUGACGAGGACCAUGUCCAUGACAUCCUUGGCAGUGGUCCCAGGCACGUUCACGGAGAACCCCAGCACGCUGUCCCUCAGACCAUCCACAAUCGCCUGGCGCUGACGGGCUAUGCCCACACCCGCCAGGUACUUGGCCUCUGCCUCGCCCUCGGCUCUCUUGAUCUGCAGAAUCUUUUCAGCUUCUGCUUUCUCAUUUGCAGCCACCCUCAUCC